rnacentral:tRNA from 1 species
GAGGCAUAGCUCAGUUGGCUAGAGCACCUGCUUGACGUGCAGGGGGUCAUAGGUUCGAGUCCUAUUGUCUCC